UACGUAGGGCGCAAGCGUUGUCCGGAAUUAUUGGGCGUAAAGAGCUCGUAGGCGGUCUGUUACGUCCGCUGUGAAAACCCAGGGCUUAACCCUGGGCUUGCAGUGGAUACGGGUAGACUAGAGGCAGGUAGGGGAGAAUGGAAUUCCCGGUGUAGCGGUGAAAUGCGUAGAUAUCGAGAGGAACACCUGCGGCGAAGGCGGGUUGCUGGGCUGACACUGACGCUGAUGCGCGAAAGCCAGGGGAGCGAACGGG
rnacentral:rRNA from 1 species